AAAUCUGUGUCUUCAUUCUAGAUUUUGCUCCUGGGCUCCUGACCUGUUUAUCCAUCAGCUUCCUGGACAUUUCCUCCCGGAUGCCCCACAGGAUUGCCCCUCCCCACCUGGCUAUUGGGUUGGCCAGCGCGCUUGCUAUACGUCAUUCAUCCGCGCCACCCGGAAGCCAGCGCAAUUGAUACCAACCGUUCUUUUUGCCGGCUCUAAGGAGCCUAUGAUGGCGACUCCCCCUAAACUGCGGGCGGUGGAGGCCACGGGGGAGAAACUGAUGCGCUACGAGACCUUCAUCAGUGAUGUGCUGCAGCGGGACUUGCGAACGGUGCUGGACCAUCGAGACAAGGUAUAUGAGCAGCUGGCCAAAUACCUUCAACUGAGAAAUGUCAUUGAGCGACUCCAGGAAGCUAAGCACUCGGAGUUAUAUUUGCAGGUGGAUUUGGGCUGUAACUUCUUCGUUGACACAGUGGUCCCAGAUACUUCACGCAUCUACGUGGCACUGGGAUAUGGUUUUUUCCUGGAGUUGACGCUGGCAGAAGCUCUUAAGUUCAUUGAUCGUAAGAGCUCUCUCCUCACAGAGCUCAGCAACAGCCUCACCAAGGACUCCAUGAAUAUCAAAGCCCAUAUCCACAUGUUGCUAGAGGGGCUUAGAGAACUACAAGGCCUACAGAAUUUCCUAGAGAAGCCUCAUCAUUGACUUCUUCCUCCAUUCUCCAACAUUAAAGAGCGUGAAUGCCUUUGAAAAAAAAAAAA